UUUUCAUGUUAAUUUCAGACACUGUGGACGUCCAAAAGCAGAACUCCUGUGAGGAACCGGGACAUCCAGGACGGUGAGGAGCUUCCCAGUCCCCACCUGAGGACGGCAGAGAGAAAGACUGGAACAGAAAACACACGGAGGAAAGCAGGUUGAACAUGGAAGCAGUUUUCUAGCAGUCGGAUCACAUCGGAACAGAGUCCAUCCACACGUGUUUGGAGGAGCUGAAGAAGAGGAUGAAGCACACAGACCGCUAAGGAGGAGAGACAUGGCUCCUAUAUUUCUCUUUAACAUUCUGGAGUCCUGGACUGAAAAACGUUGACGACCCUGCAGCUAAACCAUCAGUCUGCUACACCCAGUAGAAGAAGGUAAUGUACCUUUAUUGCAUCCAGAU